rnacentral:rRNA from 1 species
ACUCCUACGGGAGGCAGCAGUGGGGAAUAUUGCACAAUGGGCGCAAGCCUGAUGCAGCCAUGCCGCGUGUGUGAAGAAGGCCUUCGGGUUGUAAAGCACUUUCUAGUUGUGAGGAAGGUGGUGUCGUUAAUAGCGGCAUCAUUUGACGUUAGCAACAGAAGAAGCACCGGCUAACUCCGUGCCAGCAGCCGCGGUAAUACGGAGGGUGCGAGCGUUAAUCGGAAUUACUGGGCGUAAAGCGCAUGCAGGUGGUUUGUUAAGUCAGAUGUGAAAGCCCGGGGCUCAACCUCGGAACUGCAUUUGAAACUGGCAGACUAGAGUACUGUAGAGGGGGUAGAAUUUCAGGUGUAGCGGUGAAAUGCGUAGAGAUCUGAAGGAAUACCGGUGGCGAAGGCGGCCCCUGGACAGAUACUGACACUCAGAUGCGAAAGCGUGGGAGCAAACAGGAUUAGAUACCCCUGGUAGCGACUGA